AGAAUCAGAAUUCAUAUCUUGCUGAAAUUCAAGAGCAAAGUUGCAACCAAACUAAUUGAUUAGAGAAAAAUAAAUAGUCAAAAUACAGAGAUUUAUACACUGUAAUUUGAUUGUUAAUUCUUUGGCCAGAAACAGGGAUGAUUACAAGAAUAAAGGCAUUAACAGAGGUAGAUUUUAGCCGUGGUUAAGAAGUUAUUAAGCUAAUAACGAUGUUAACUAGAUACAAAUGCUCGCUUUGAUUACUUAAAACGAAGUACAUGAUAUGAUCAAAUAACCAUUUCUUAAAGACAGAAAACACAAAAACAAUACAUUUUUUGAAAAGAAUCAAGAUUUACGCAAGACGAACUAAUUCACAUCUGACCUUGAUCUUACUCUUAGAUAACUAGAAUCAAUAAAUCAAAAGUUAAAGAACAUACUCACCUGG